rnacentral:rRNA from 1 species
UGGGGAAUAUUGGACAAUGGGGGCAACCCUGAUCCAGCAAUGCCGCGUGUGUGAAGAAGGUCUUCGGAUUGUAAAGCACUUUCGACGGGGACGAUGAUGACGGUACCCCGUAGAAGAAGCCCCGGCUAACUUCGUGCCAGCAGCCGCGGUAAUACGAAGGGGGCUAGCGUUGCUCGGAAUGACUGGGCGUAAAGGGCGUGUAGGCGGUUUACACAGUCAGAUGUGAAAUCCCCGGGCUUAACCUGGGAGCUGCAUUUGAUACGUGUAGACUAGAGUGUGAGAGAGGGUUGUGGAAUUCCCAGUGUAGAGGUGAAAUUCGUAGAUAUUGGGAAGAACACCGGUGGCGAAGGCGGCAACCUGGCUCAUGACUGACGCUGAGGCGCGAAAGCGUGGGAGCA